GGAAACCUUGACUUACAAAGUCUUCUCCUCUUCCUAUGCAGCACCAAUAUUGGUCAUUUGGUCUUGGCCUUAAACAUUGGGGCAGCCUUGAUUGCUUAAAAGAAGUUUGCUUCAAGAGGGUAGAUGCUAAAUGAUCUGUAGGAGAUCAAUCAAAUCAGGCAAGAAUUUGAAGUAGGGAAUAUGCUUUACUGGCUAUAGGUUAGAUUUUAUAGGCAGUGCAGGUUCUAUGCUUCAUCCCCCAAGUUCCUGAUGCCAUUUCUCUAGAGGACUGUGUUCCUUCCAUGUUUCUCAAUUAUGACGGCUCUACCUUUAGUGGCUAUCAGUCGCAAUAUCAAGCCUGACCAAGAAUUCUAAAACCACUCCACAAAUUUUACUCUUCCAAAAAGGUAUUAUUAGUCUAGGCUUUCUUUCAUUUCACUUAUGCCAAUUAAUUCUGCCUUGUAUUAGUUUACAUAUCUUAUUAAAGACAAUAUCUUCAGUUUGUUGCAUCGAAUUUAAAUAUGGGUACUUCUUUAUAGUAAAA